GCUUUGGUAAGGUUGGCUUCUUAGCAUUCAUUGUCAUGGUUAUCAACUGUACCACAGUAAUGGCAUGUAAAGUCACAGAAAAUAGCUGUUGUGGUGGCAGCUGCAGAGAAGUACUUGGAUGUACAAGGUUUUACAGCAAAAGAGACUAGGUGUGUUAAAUUAAAGAGUCUAGGUGUGUUAAAUUAAAGAGUCAUGUCCUCCCCAGGCCAUCAGCCUAUUGUAGGAUCAGUUGGGGUCAAAGUAGUGAAAUGGGGUGAUGUUAAUUUAUUGUUUUAUUAAAUAGUGGUGUAUAUAGGUGUAGGGUUAAUUGGUGGUGCAUUUUUAAAGUCCCACUUUUUUAUUUUUGUCAUGAUCGACCACACACUCCUGUACAGUAGGUGGCGGCAUGCAAACAAAUAAAUAUGGAACGCCAUGAUAACAAAGAAGACCAAGAACCAUUUCCACGUCAGCUUUUUUAUUGUUAUUUAGACGUUCAUUAACACCCUGGAACUCAUACUUAAACCAUGUAGUCUUUAAUUCACGUUUGAUACAAGACUUGGUUUAUAGAUGUUAUCGAGGUAAAGAUAGCUAGCUGCUAACAAUGGCUAACUGUGUGGGUUUUCACACUCAAAUAGCCUCCAUCAUGGAGGUACUAGCGAAUGCUGCCGUGGCAGAGAUCUGUAAACUCGUAGACGACGACUAUGCAGUGUUUCGUUUGGAAGUAACUCAAAGCCAGAAAGAAAACAGGGGAUUGCGGAGGAAACUACAGCAACUGGAACUGAAGGUGUCACGGGAGCGCGCAGAGAGGACAAUGCGAGAGCGCGUCAUCGCCAGUCGUCCCAGUAGUGUCAAGAUCCUCGACCGAUACAGAGGAAUGGCAAGAGGUGAAGGACAUCUCACUGGAGGCCACAGGAGCUUUGUGAAGCCAGCGGGACACAAUACAUGGAGAGAUGACCAACCAAUCACUGUUGAUGAGGGGAGUGGAACCUCAACCCAGAACAUUAUCAUGAUAGAGCCUGCAGAUGCAGAGGCUGCAGAUCCUGGGGUCAAGCAGGAGAGGUCUGAAGGAGAGGAGGACCCACGGCACAGCAGAGACAACCCGACUCGUGCGGCAGGUGAUCCCCCUGUAGCCACAGAGGACACCGCCCCAGCGCCGCUCAGGUCCCAACGCAGCAUCACGGAGGAAGAGGAGGGUCCAGAGGUGCUGCUGGUGAAAGAGGAGGGGUGUGAGGAGGGUCUGGGAAAGCCUCAGGGGAACAUGGUCAUGGAGGACAACCAGACUACAUCUCCUCCUGAACCCACAGAGGAUCCAGCUAAGCAGCACAGGACCACACACAGUCUUAUUGAGGAUAGGAAGCCUGAACUCCUGCUAAUCAAAUAAGAGACCAUAAAAGAUGGACCAGAGAGCAUUGAUCUGCUGAGUGGACUAAAGAUCGGGGUGCAAGGUGGUUGGCUGGAGGCUAACAGAGGAGACUGGGCGGCCGUCUUGGAUUCCCAUAGAUGGAGAGGACAUCACUGAGCGGGCCAGGACCAGCGGCGACAUAGUGGAGGUCAGUGGAUGGGACAGUGUCUUCAACUCUGGGCUGGGGAACAACACUGUUAACUGUCGGGGUAGGUUCCUUGUCAAUCAUUGGCUUAUUGGUGAAAUCAGCAGUCAGACAAUAUCUUCUUUGAGUAAAUCAAUCAAACCUUUAUUAAUGCAAUUUCAGACAGAAGUUGACAAUGGAAACACAGCAUGUGUGUUUCAGAGUAAGUUCUGCAUCCCACCUAAGGGCGCAGCUGAUUUUAUACAUGUGAUCACUCCCUGGUGGUAUGAUCACCUACGUCAAUGUAUGUAUACAGCAAUAGAGUGUGUCUGGUCAAUUGCUUAUUGAAUCAGGUUAGAGUGGGUCUGGUACACUAGCUUCUCUGAAUUCAUUAGCAUUGUCCACUGUCACACAAGAUCAAAAUGUCAAAACCAGACAGUGGUUACUUCUCUUUAUCUAGUUUCGGUCUGACUCAGACCUAGCCUGCAAGCACACUCUUAAACAGCUAGGGCUUAACCACAAAGACCAAUAUAUAUGUAUUGUGCAACGUAUAGUGGCAGAGUUUUAGGCACAUAACAGUAUCUUAUAAGGCCUGCAGCAAAACAUAUGACUUUUAAGGUCCCCUUAAUCAAUAAUGGGGAGGGUCUUUGGGACCCUAACCCCUUCAUAACCACAAUCAGAAACAGACAGUCGAACACAGAACAACAAACAAACUUAGUCUCCAUGACAACAGACUGGCAGAGACGAGGGCAAGGUGUAGAUUUGGUCUACGGGGAGGUGUCCAUAUGCGGCGGGAGAGAACAGACACAGACUUGGCUAGCGAUGCUCCGUCCUGCUGCUAUAGUUGUGAUUCAGAGAGACUGACGCCUCAGGUUAACCCCCUAACCCCCUAACAGGUGCUGCCUUCAGCCUGCCUUCUAUAGGAUCUAUCAACUGGAACAUGGACCCUACAACAACACAAACACUACCUGACCUUUGUCCUCCUCUCCUUAUGUUAAACCAGACCUCAGACAAUGUCAGUCCCUCAACACUAAAUGGCUACACAAGCCCAUUGAGAAAUGACAGUAAUAGUAGUAAUGCUAUCAGCAGAUCUAAUGGCAAAGAUAAGCGUUUCCCCAAACAGGUUGAGAUCCACAAGAGGAUGCACACGGUGGUUGUACACUUUUGGCUGUACCCAGUGUCAGAUGCGCUUUGCCAAUGCUUGUCACCUAAAGAGGCACCAGAGGGUCCACACGGGAUAAAUCUAUUAGCUGCCCCCAGUGUGACAAAAGGUUCUUCCACCAGCAUCAUCUGAAGAUGUUACUUGAAGGUCCACACGGGAGAGAGGCCGCUCGCCGGUACGCAAUGAGUUUCUCAGAGAGGAGCUAUCUCAGGAAUGACCCGCAGAAAAUGCACAUGGCCCAUGUAUAGAGUAUUGUGACAUGUAAUGUAGUCCUAGUUACUUAGUUUGUAGUUAAUUAUGUUGGUUUUGGAUUUAGUAGGGAACCGGAUGAGGCGAACUUAGGAAAGAAUGCGUAUGAUGAGGCAGGGUUGGUGUAAUGGCGUCUGUAAAAAUGCUUCUCUGAUAAAGUGACAACCUUGUCCUGUUUGAUGCCUGUGUUUUAUAAUGUGGAAAUGAUAGUGCCUUAAUUGUUUUCUAGUGCCUGUGUAAUGUUGAACCUUUUCCAAAGUAUUCUCAAAUAAAUGCGAGGGUACCAAAUGUACAGAAAGGCUACGAAUAGAGUUGUCAUCCCCUCUUCCUCAAAUCUAUGGAUCCAAAUCGCAUUCUGCGCUUGUGUUAUUUAUGCAUGUUCAAGUUUCUCCAUUUACUCACCCUCUUCUGAACCCAAAAGCAAUUUGAUCUAUAUGAUGAUAUAGCCGAUGUCUCUGCCUCAUAUGUCUGAAUAGCUGCGAUUUUAAUGAAAGUUCUAAAAAUAUGUAUGAAGGCUACAACCUUCUCUGUCUGGUGUAACUGAUAUUGCUGUAACAAUAGUCUCAAACAAGACAGACGGUCUACACAUUGGGACAAAACAAUUAGCGUUUUGUGUGAUGAUAUAAUCUUUAUAGUUAUGCUGCCAUAUAGCCAGUUUUCUGCCUCCUGUUUAGCCCAUGUUUGCAAUGACGAUGAAAAAAUAACAUUAGACAACUGUUAGAAAAAACCUAGUUAUGUCUCUUGUAACUGUUUUGUGUACAGUUGAAGUCAGAAGUUUACAUACACCGAGGUUAGAGUCAUUAAAUAUAGUUUUUCAACCACUCUACAAAUUUAUUUUU